GACAGAGGAUGCAAGCGUUAUCCGGAAUGAUUGGGCGUAAAGCGUCUGUAGGUGGCUUUUCAAGUCCGCCGUCAAAUCCCAGGGCUCAACCCUGGACAGGCGGUGGAAACUACCAAGCUGGAGUACGGUAGGGGCAGGAGGGAAUUUCCGGUGGAGCGGUGAAAUGGCGUUGAGAUCGGAAGGAACGCCCGUGGCGAAAGCGAGCCCCUGGACGUCUACUGACGCUGAGACGCGAAAGCCAGGGGAGCGAACGGG
rnacentral:rRNA from 1 species